GUGGCGGCGGCUACCAUGCAAGUCGAGCGGUAGAGAGGUGCUUGCACCUCUUGAGAGCGGCGGACGGGUGAGUAAUGCCUAGGAAUCUGCCUGGUAGUGGGGGAUAACGCUCGGAAACGGACGCUAAUACCGCAUACGUCCUACGGGAGAAAGCAGGGGACCUUCGGGCCUUGCGCUAUCAGAUGAGCCUAGGUCGGAUUAGCUAGUUGGUGAGGUAAUGGCUCACCAAGGCGACGAUCCGUAACUGGUCUGAGAGGAUGAUCAGUCACACUGGAACUGAGACACGGUCCAGACUCCUACGGGAGGCAGCAGUGGGGAAUAUUGGACAAUGGGCGAAAGCCUGAUCCAGCCAUGCCGCGUGUGUGAAGAAGGUCUUCGGAUUGUAAAGCACUUUAAGUUGGGAGGAAGGGCCAUUACCUAAUACGUGAUGGUUUUGACGUUACCGACAGAAUAAGCACCGGCUAACUCUGUGCCAGCAGCCGCGGUAAUACAGAGGGUGCAAGCGUUAAUCGGAAUUACUGGGCGUAAAGCGCGCGUAGGUGGUUCGUUAAGUUGGAUGUGAAAGCCCCGGGCUCAACCUGGGAACUGCAUUCAAAACUGUCGAGCUAGAGUAUGGUAGAGGGUGGUGGAAUUUCCUGCGUGUCGGCGAAAUGCGUAUAUAUAGGAAGGAACGCCAGGGGAGAAGGGGACCACCUGGACUGAUACUGACGCUGAUGUGCGAAAGCGAGGCGAGGAACAAGAUUAGAUACCCUGCCCCUGGAAGCCGUACACGAAGUGCGAGACCCCCUA
rnacentral:rRNA from 1 species